rnacentral:tRNA from 1 species
GGCGGCGUAGCUCAGUGGCAAGAGCACGCGGCUCAUACCCGCGGAGUCUAGGGUUCGAAUCCCUACGCCGCCACCA